AUAGAGUGGAUACCGUUUACCGGUAUCGCUGUCCUCGUAUCCCUUUCAUCUAGAUAAUGUAAAGAGUUAGAAUGCUCAGAGUUACAGGCGCGUAGCUCAGUUGGUUAGAGCGCACGACUGAUAAUCGUGAGGUCGGAGGUUCAAGUCCUCCCUCGCCCACCAACACUGUUGGGGGAUUAGCUCAGCUGGGAGAGCGCCUGAUUUGCAUUCAGGAGGUCAGCGGUUCGAUCCCGCUAUCCUCCACCAACAUCUUUAAAAUCGUAAAUAUGUAAGCUGAUAACAACGAAUAACUUCUUAAGUUAUUCGUUAAAACACAAAUAAUAUAACAACAAAUAACUACAAAAAGUUAUUAACUAACACAAACUUUUCACUGUGUGUUAAUAAUUCAAGCGCGUAAGAGCAUUUGGUGGAUGCCUUGGC
rnacentral:tRNA from 1 species